AAAUGUUGCCAGCUGCCUCAGAUAACUAACUUAAUUACAGUAUUUGUGAAUUGUAAAUAGUCCCUGUAGUAGGUUUGGAGCUAUUUAAGAAACACUGCAACUAGGCAGAGAUCCAAAGCAUACUGAACUCGGUGGGAUCCUUUCCACUGAAUUCAGAAGGUUUUGCAUUGGUCUGUUAUUGAAUAAGCUCUUUCCUUCAGACAAAAUUUGCAGGUUUCAAAUGUAGCUCCAAAAGCCCUUUCCCUGAUACCUGUAAUUAAAAUAUGACUUCUAUUGCAAAUCAGUAUGUGUAUUGUAUCAUAAUCAGUGGGUAUUUUAUGACAUUACUCAGUCAUCUUCCUGGAGGCUUGUGAAUGUGCAGGAGAAGGCACUUGAUAACACCAGAUACUGCCUGGUGUAUGCAGUACAGUAGCUUUACCAGUACUGAAGAUGUUCCCAUUGAAUGUUACAACAAGUUACAGGACUGGAGGAGAGGAGGAACUAGAGAACAAAGCGUGAUAUUCUGGCCCUGGAUGUUCUGGGCAAACCCUGCUCUGCUCACAGCUCACUGCAAAGUGAACUGCUGCAGUUCCUACGAAGUAUAUUUAAUUUGGUCGUGCAGCCCACUGACCUUGCUACCACUGAGAAAAACAACAGUGCUGUCAGUCAUGCUGCAAGCAACUAGAGCAGCUAACACAUUCCCAGUGCCUCAACACAUCCCAGUAUGGGCACAAAUACAUGUGCCCACACACACUUCAGCAUUGCUUAAACCAAUACCAUUAAAAGUUCAUGAGUCAGUAUGUAGUAAAUGUGAGUAUAUAAAUAUAUUUAUACACACACAGAUGCAAACACAUAAAAAUUUUUGAAGUUACUGUGCUACUGUAAAUAUAGAAAUACAUAUUCAUUCUCUCUUCAGACUAUUUCCCUCCAAAAUGCUUUCAAAGAACAAAAAUCUGUAAAAGUACCGUUUAUUUUUACUGCCAUUUUCCUCCUGCCAGUCAUAUUGUCUUAGUUUCAGCCCAUUCUGUUUAGUAUCUAGACUCAAAUAAAAACAGGUGAUAAUUAUUAGUCA
rnacentral:lncRNA from 1 species